UACGUAGGGGGCAAGCGUUGUCCGGAAUUAUUGGGCGUAAAGGGCGCGUAGGCGGCCUUCUAAGUCGAACGUGAAAUCCCUCGGCUUAACCGGGGAACUGCAUCUGAUACUGGAUGGCUUGAGAUUGGGAGAGGGAUGCGGAAUUCCAGGUGUAGCGGUGAAAUGCGUAGAUAUCUGGAGGAACACCGGUGGCGAAGGCGGCAUCCUGGACCAACACUGACGCUGAGGAGCGAAAGCCAGGGGAGCAAACGGG
rnacentral:rRNA from 1 species